CAUAUGAGAAUGUUUUAUUUCUUGUAACUGUACAGAUGAUCAAGCGGUGCAAGUCCUAAAUUAUCCCAAUCAUUGCCCAGGCUAAUCAGAAGAGAGGGAAUCGGUGGCGGUCUCUGAAGAUGAGCAGGCAGGCUUGGGGUACCGGCUAAGCUGUCAGAAAAAAAAAACCAGCAGCAGCAAAGUCCAUGCCCCAUCGGCUCCCGCAUUGCGCCAGCCGGGAGCCCCCACCGCUCAGCUGAAACAGACAUCAGCUGGCAGAGAUGAGCUCCAGAGUGCAGGACGCGUUCGGAAGCAGCCUAACUUGGGGUUGUAGCAGGCAGUCAGAUUGCAUUUGGAUCCAAGUGUCCGAUCUCAGUAUUAAUGGUCAUGACAGGUUGCGCUUUAAACAAGGCCAGCUCUUAAUUGUAAAAUACUGAAGAUAGACUGGGAGCCUAAUGGUUUGGCCCCUUUCCCCUAAACUGUCAGGAAAUGGCCUCAACUCAUUUGGAAAUCGAUGGACACGGGGCAGAGUAGGGGCAGAAGGCUUGGUAUUUCAAGAAGUCAUUUGAAGCUAUCACUCUCAGGGACCUAUGGCCCCCUUUCUUCUUCCUCGUUGCCCAUCCUACUCGAUUUUGAAAAAUGGUUAAUUAUUCAUUGUGCUGGCCAAGUUUAUACUGCUGGCGAUCAAGUGCACCAGGAGACUGUAAAGCACACUGAUCCAUAGCAUCUGUGGGAGAGUAAACACAGGCACAAUUCUUGGUUGUUCUUCCCAUGGAGAAGUGUCUAUUUUCACUCUUUUAAAAUCGGACAGAGCCCUGUGCCUCACUUUGAUCAACAGAAUGCAAAAGAUAUGACUUCCAAAGUUCAGCCACAGAGAACCUUGCCACCUUUGCGACUUUUCAGAGUUUACGCUGGGGAAAGCCAGUACCAUGUAAGAAUCUGACUAGCCUGAGACUGCCAUGCUGUGAGGAAGCCAAACUAGCUACAAGGGGAGCUACAUUUCUCCCUGCAGGGGAGGUGGAGGGGAGAUGCCAACCAUGCCAGCUGAGAUGCAGAUGUGACUGACUGCAGAAGUCCAUCUUGGAUAUCCAACCCAGUAAAGAUUCCAAGUAACUCCAGUGCCAGCUGUCAUCUGACUGUAAGAAGGACCCAAGUGAGGACUACAGUUGAGUCAUGUCAACUCUUGGAUGGUGAAAAAUAGUGAUAAAUUAUUUUCCAAACUGCUAAGUUUUGGGGGGUGCAUAGAGCUCAAAGAGAGCCAGACAGAUGCAGGUGCCUGCUGUGACCAACGGUAAUUCUGACACAUGGCCCCUGCUUGUCACCCAUUCGGGCCUACCACCAGUCUUCUACUGUUUUUCACAAGGAUGACUCUUUCAUCCUAGUCUGCCUGGACUUUCUUGGUUUUAGUACUGGGUACCCCAUGUCCUGGGAAUGUCCUCGGUCCAGAGCAAGCUAGGAGGGUCUGUUGCCCCUCUCACUACACAGAAGCCUUGAAGAUUUUCUCUCCAUUCCCCUGACACACCAAGUUCCUUCACACCCUGGAACCUCGAUACAGGCAGUGUCCCUGUCUGGAUGGGUUUUCCUCCCUCUCCUCACAUGGAAAACUUCCGCCCAGACUUUGAAUUUUAGGGUGAGCUUCUGUAACUCCUAAGACUUCAAGGCAAGGCUUCCUGUUAGGACAAACUCUCACAACAUUUUGUACUUCUUGGUAGCACCAGGCUAUCUGUCAGGACUCUCUUCCUCCCUGCCAGCAUGUGGGGUUCACCGUCCUGGGAGAACUGCUUGCUUUUGUGGCUGAGAUGGAGCAUGUGGGGGCUGGUGUGGUAGGCCCUAAGAGAUGAGGGCUUAAGUAAAUAGGCAAAGGCCACCUGGCAGGGAUGAUUGGUACCCAGAGAAGCAUGUACCUCACACUGGGAGGACAGUGGUGAGGGUUGAGAGCAUUUCAGAUCCUUUGAGUAAUAAGGAGAUGACCCGACUUGACCCUGGUCCCCGGGCCAGGGCAGAACAUGAUUUUGGUGUAUCAGUGUGUUUCCCAAAAGAUUUAGAAAGGGCAAUGUCAAUUUAAAUGUGUCACAUAUCCUCUAUGAUGGUCAUGGUACCAUGGGAAUGGAAAAGCCCAGAGGCAGGCCAGUGGGAAGGCCAGCAGAGUCCCUGCAUCAGCUUCUCUGCCCUGUCUUAAUCCUCUCCCAGGUCACAGAGAGAUGGAUGCUGCGAUUGACAAGUGGAACAAUUGUCAAUGCUUUCCCUCACUCUGCUUUCCUGGAGGAAGCUGCUCUUUCACUUGGGAAAUGUGUGCCAUUCCCAUCAUUCCAUCUCCUCUAUCAGGCCAGGUUGUAGAAGGAGAGAGACAUGGGGCACGAGAAUUUACCACUACCUGGAUGUGGGUUUAAUUCUCUAGUCAUUUUCAAAGGCAAGCAGAUAGGACUUGAUGUAAUUCUGUGUUUUUCAAUUUUUUCCAUAUUUUAGAACCUAUUUAUUAGUAUUCUCUUAUGUGUGUGUGCAUAUAACUAGAUAUAUACAUGUAUGCACAUGUAUCUAUAUAUGUACAUAUAUAUAAUUCUCAAUUAAAUAAGAUUCUGACAAUUAUGAUUUUAAAAAUAUGCUACCAAAACCAUAAUUUCAUGGGAUAAGGUUGUUUAAAAGAUGUUUUUCCAACUUAAAACCAUUCUCUUAGAAUUUGCUGUACAUUUGUCAUGUUGGAAAGCAGUAAUAUAAUCCGAGAUAACCUAGUCUCCUUUUAACAGAAUGCCAACAUGGAAAGCGACCUGUGGCCCUGGGAGGAUUCCACACUGGCCCCCUCUGACGCCCUCGGAUUCGGGCGCCAGCAGCCUGGGGCCAUCACACUUUGCUUUGAGUUUUACACCCUGACUUGGAAUCCUGGAGAUCCCUUUGCCUCAUUGCUUUCUCUACAGCCCCACAGACACACCAUCAGCAAAUCUGUUGGCUUGAACUUCCAAAGAUGCCCAAGUCCCUCUGCCCACCCUGCUUUAAGUAGGCACUGUCCCUUUUGGGGCUGACAGCCUCUUCACCAACUCCCUGUGUCCAUCAGAAAACACAACAAGAGGAAAGUCAUUUGUAGUCGGGUAUUAUGUCCCAGUUAAAAUAAACUCUAUUAGGGAAAUAAGAAGAAAGACAAUUUAAAUAUUAAAAUACUCAGAAUACAAAUGAGAAGGAAAAACGAGCAGAACGAUUGGGUGGCCUCAUAAUAACAUCUCAGGUCAAAACCAGAUAGCCCCUUUUAAAAUUCCGCUAAACAUAUUUUUCUUUAUAAUUUAUCAUCCCUCUUGGACAUAGCAUAUGGGGCGAUUUUAAAUUGAUAUGAUAUAAGAAUAAAUACCAAAUCCGUCAAAGGAGUCAGCCAAUGUUCAGAAUUGUAGGAAACCAUAGAAAUGGGCUCUAAUUGCAUCAUUAUCUAAUCUCCUUACUUUUGAAUACCAUUGCUAAGAAUGGCCUCACUCAUCUUAUGUCAUUUUCUUUUCUUGUGAACUUUUCCAUUUUCUCAUAAGAACAAGACAUCCAUAUUUUAGGGUUUGGCGCAUUUUGUUGUACAAAGCAGUAAAAAGACUCGUCAGAAACAUGAUGGAAAGGGAAUUCAGAGAGAGCCGUAGUUAGAGAGGACCAUAAAGGAGCGUGGCUGGGAAGGCACAGAGAGAUUUUCUUAAAGUUCUUUAUGCACUGGGACAAAGAAAGAGAAAGAGUUGCUUGGCCUCUCUGCCCCCAAAUGUUCCAGAUUAUGAUUUUAGCAGGCGGGUUUUUUCAGAGCAGUCCCCUGGAGCUUGAGAAGUGAGGACGAGGUUUAUAAAUACAAGAGGAAAGGAAGCCCCCCGCCCCCAAAUUUUACCACUAAUGCCAUCAUCAACUGAAUGUGUGUUUGGAAGUUGAUGGGAAUGUCUCAAAGACAGAGAUGGGUGGAGAGGCCAGCAAGCCUCCGGGGGAGAGUUGGAGGGUGGAGUGGCUAAAGCUGCCGCAUCAGGGGGAUGGAAGGGACCUCAGAAUUGACAGAACUUGUCCUGGGUCGGAUAGAGUCACCCCCAAAUUCAUAACCACCCAGAACCUCAGAACGGGACCUAUCUGGAAAUAGGGUCUUUGCAAAUGGGACUGAGAUGGGACCAUGUGGGCCUAGGGCGAGCCCUAAGCCAAUGACUGUCCUUGUGAGAAGAGGAGAGGACCCGGGACACAUGGAGAAGCAGCCUUGUGAAUCAGGAGCAGAGGCUGGAGCAGAGGGAGGCUGGAGCAGAGGGAGGCCGGAGAGGCGCUGCAGGAAGGGGGUGUCCCUGCUUCACUGUAGUGCCAGGGCUCUGGCCUCCAGAACGGCAGAGAGCUAAAUCUGCUGUUUUAAACCACCCAGCUUGUGGUGAUUUGUUAUAGCUAAUAUACCACCUAGGCCUAAUAUACCACCCCACAGCCAAACCCAGACAUUUGUGGGCUCUCACGAGAUUUUUAUUUGUCUUGCUUUAAAUAGAGUUGCUAAUAUUAACCAACGAGAGACUGAACAUAAAAACCAUGAAUCCUGUUUUUCCUAGAAAAAUCCGAGGAGGCGACCUAACCCCGUGGUGCCUGUGGUCUGAGAAGGCUGCCCCUUGCCAGCUGCCCUGGCCGCCCCCUUCCAGGGCCAGGCCCCCUGGAGGCCUCUCUCUUCCCCUCGCGCCCUCCCCACCCUUCAACCUUCACUGACUUGGGAUCCUUAUUUUAAGAGGCUCUUCUUGUUUUAGAGACUAGAAAAAUGAAACUCAGAAAUAGAAAUCCCGUGCCUGAUGUCAUACAGCGUGACUGUGGCAAAGGGGGUCUGGGACACCGGCUUUUGGACACCCCACUUCCUGCGCCACGGUUGCCACUUCCACCUACAGAAUGCCACAAGAUGUCUCCUGCAGCAGACGUCCCUAGACUUCUGGAUCUCACAGACCAGGUUGAGAAAAUUUCAAGGAAUCGACAAAGCAGUUCUAACACUUUAAUUUGCCAAGAAAGAGCUUUUUUUUUUUUUUUUUUUUAAAUCCUGCAUACCAUCUUUUCAUUAGAGAAAAGCUUUUCUAUCACAGAUGAAGCAGGAAACUCACAAGCUCAGCGCACUCAAGGAAACCAGGCUUGUGGCCUCAGCUCCUUCCGUUCUCCCUCCUCAUCUAGCUCUGCCAGGCUCGCUGGCCUUCUUGCCAGCCUUUGAACUCACGAGGUCCUUCUUGCUAUUCCCUUUGUCUGGAUCACCUUCCCCAGCAUCCAGGCUCACUUCUCCAGUCCACUCAAGUCACUACUGAAUGUCUCCUCUUCCCUGUGGCCUGCCUGAGAGGCAGCACCCCUGGGCCCUCACCUUUGUCGUUACCUGACCUAGUCCUUGUCUAUGUGCUCAGUGUCUGCCUCGCUCCCCUCUAACAAAGGAGAACUUCAGGGAAACAAGGAUUCUGUUUCCAUCAGUGCCUAGAAUGGUGCCUGGCACAUAUGACAUGCUCCAAGUUUUACUGAUUGGAUGGAAUAAAGUAAAAUGCUUUAUAUCAAAUAA